GGGGGCGACAGGCUUCGACCGGAUGUGACCCGCAUGACGUUGCGUGCCGAGGUUCCCGGUGGCCUCGUAAAACCCGGGACAACAACAGUUGGCAACACCAACUACGCACUGGCCGCCUAAUUAGGCGACCUGGUCCGGAAAGCGUUCCGCCCGUAUCGCUUCCAAGGGCCACCCUUCGACGGGAUGCUCGCCGCCCUACCGCCGGGUAAUGCGGCGCUAAGACUUCCCCGGUGAACCCCGGGUCGGCCGGGCCAUCACGGCUCCCGGGCGGAUGUUUCAAGUUGGAUGGAUACGCACGUAGAAGCGCAUGCGGAGCGUCUCGGGACCCGGGUUCGAUUCCCGGCGCCUCCACCA
rnacentral:tmRNA from 1 species